rnacentral:rRNA from 1 species
UUAAGCGACUAAGCGUACACGGUGGAUGCCCUGGCAGUCAGAGGCGAUGAAGGACGUGCUAAUCUGCGAAAAGCGUCGGUAAGGUGAUAUGAACCGUUAUAACCGGCGAUGUCCGAAUGGGGAAACCCAGUGCAAUUCGUUGCACUAUCGUUAACUGAAUACAUAGGUUAACGAGGCGAACCGGGGGAACUGAAACAUCUAAGUACCCCGAGGAAAAGAAAUCAACCGAGAUUCCCCCAGUAGCGGCGAGCGAACGGGGAGCAGCCCAGAGUCUGAAUCAGCUUGUGUGUUAGUGGAACGGUCUGGAAAGUCCGACGGUACAGGGUGAUAGUCCCGUACACCAAAAUGCACAGGUUGUGAACUCGAAGAGUAGGGCGGGACACGUGGUAUCCUGUCUGAAUAUGGGGGGACCAUCCUCCAAGGCUAAAUACUCCUGACUGACCGAUAGUGAACCAGUACCGUGAGGGAAAGGCGAAAAGAACCCCGGCGAGGGGAGUGAAAAAGAACCUGAAACCGUGUACGUACAAGCAGUGGGAGCACCUUCGGGUGUGACUGCGUACCUUUUGUAUAAUGGGUCAGCGACUUAUAUUCUGUAGCAAGGUUAACCGUAUAGGGGAGCCGCAGGGAAACCGAGUCUUAACUGGGCGUUAAGUUGCAGGGUAUAGACCCGAAACCCGGUGAUCUAGCCAUGGGCAGGUUGAAGGUUGGGUAACACUAACUGGAGGACCGAACCGACUAAUGUUGAAAAAUUAGCGGAUGACUUGUGGCUGGGGGUGAAAGGCCAAUCAAACCGGGAGAUAGCUGGUUCUCCCCGAAAGCUAUUUAGGUAGCGCCUCGUGAAUUCAUCUUCGGGGGUAGAGCACUGUUUCGGCUAGGGGGUCAUCCCGACUUACCAACCCGAUGCAAACUACGAAUACCGAAGAAUGUUAUCACGGGAGACACACGGCGGGUGCUAACGUCCGUCGUGAAGAGGGAAACAACCCAGACCGCCAGCUAAGGUCCCAAAGUCAUGGUUAAGUGGGAAACGAUGUGGGAAGGCACAGACAGCCAGGAUGUUGGCUUAGAAGCAGCCAUCAUUUAAAGAAAGCGUAAUAGCUCACUGGUCGAGUCGGCCUGCGCGGAAGAUGUAACGGGGCUAAACCAUGCACCGAAGCUGCGGCAGCGACACUAUGUGUUGUUGGGUAGGGGAGCGUUCUGUAAGCCUGCGAAGGUGUGCUGUGAGGCAUGCUGGAGGUAUCAGAAGUGCGAAUGCUGACAUAAGUAACGAUAAAGCGGGUGAAAAGCCCGCUCGCCGGAAGACCAAGGGUUCCUGUCCAACGUUAAUCGGGGCAGGGUGAGUCGACCCCUAAGGCGAGGCCGAAAGGCGUAGUCGAUGGGAAACAGGUUAAUAUUCCUGUACUUGGUGUUACUGCGAAGGGGGGACGGAGAAGGCUAUGUUAGCCGGGCGACGGUUGUCCCGGUUUAAGCAUGUAGGCUGGUUGUCCAGGCAAAUCCGGAUAAUCAAGGCUGAGGUGUGAUGACGAGGCACUACGGUGCUGAAGUAACAAAUGCCCUGCUUCCAGGAAAAGCCUCUAAGCAUCAGGUAACAUUAAAUCGUACCCAAACCGACACAGGUGGUCAGGUAGAGAAUACCAAGGCGCUUGAGAGAACUCGGGUGAAGGAACUAGGCAAAAUGGUGCCGUAACUUCGGGAGAAGGCACGCUGGUGUGUAGGUGAAGUCCCUGCGGAUGGAGCUGAGACCAGUCGAAGAUACCAGCUGGCUGCAACUGUUUAUUAAAAACACAGCACUGUGCAAACACGAAAGUGGACGUAUACGGUGUGACGCCUGCCCGGUGCCGGAAGGUUAAUUGAUGGGGUUAUCCGUAAGGAGAAGCUCUUGAUCGAAGCCCCGGUAAACGGCGGCCGUAACUAUAACGGUCCUAAGGUAGCGAAAUUCCUUGUCGGGUAAGUUCCGACCUGCACGAAUGGCGUAAUGAUGGCCAGGCUGUCUCCACCCGAGACUCAGUGAAAUUGAACUCGCUGUGAAGAUGCAGUGUACCCGCGGCAAGACGGAAAGACCCCGUGAACCUUUACUAUAGCUUGACACUGAACAUUGAGCCUUGAUGUGUAGGAUAGGUGGGAGGCUUUGAAGCGUGGACGCCAGUCUGCGUGGAGCCAACCUUGAAAUACCACCCUUUAAUGUUUGAUGUUCUAACGUUGGCCCCUGACCGGGGUUGCGGACAGUGUCUGGUGGGUAGUUUGACUGGGGCGGUCUCCUCCCAAAGCGUAACGGAGGAGCACGAAGGUUAGCUAAUCCUGGUCGGACAUCAGGAGGUUAGUGCAAUGGCAUAAGCUAGCUUGACUGCGAGCGUGACGGCGCGAGCAGGUGCGAAAGCAGGUCAUAGUGAUCCGGUGGUUCUGAAUGGAAGGGCCAUCGCUCAACGGAUAAAAGGUACUCCGGGGAUAACAGGCUGAUACCGCCCAAGAGUUCAUAUCGACGGCGGUGUUUGGCACCUCGAUGUCGGCUCAUCACAUCCUGGGGCUGAAGUAGGUCCCAAGGGUAUGGCUGUUCGCCAUUUAAAGUGGUACGCGAGCUGGGUUUAGAACGUCGUGAGACAGUUCGGUCCCUAUCUGCCGUGGGCGCUGGAGAAUUGAGGGGGGCUGCUCCUAGUACGAGAGGACCGGAGUGGACGCAUCACUGGUGUUCGGGUUGUCAUGCCAAUGGCACUGCCCGGUAGCUAAAUGCGGAAGAGAUAAGUGCUGAAAGCAUCUAAGCACGAAACUUGCCCCGAGAUGAGUUCUCCCUGAGACUUUAAGUCUCCUGAAGGAACGUUAAAGACGAUGACGUUGAUAGGCCGGGUGUGUAAGCGCAGCGAUGCGUUGAGCUAACCGGUACUAAUGAACCGUGAGGCUUAACCUU